rnacentral:rRNA from 1 species
CCUACGGGAGGCAGCAGUGGGGAAUAUUGGACAAUGGGGGCAACCCUGAUCCAGCCAUGCCGCGUGUGUGAAGAAGGCCCUCGGGUUGUAAAGCACUUUCAGUGAGGAAGAACGCCUGGUGGUUAAUACCCAUCAGGAAAGACAUCACUCACAGAAGAAGCACCGGCUAACUCCGUGCCAGCAGCCGCGGUAAUACGGAGGGUGCGAGCGUUAAUCGGAAUUACUGGGCGUAAAGCGCGCGUAGGUGGCUUGAUAAGCCGGUUGUGAAAGCCCCGGGCUCAACCUGGGAACGGCAUCCGGAACUGUCAAGCUAGAGUGCAGGAGAGGAAGGUAGAAUUCCCGGUGUAGCGGUGAAAUGCGUAGAGAUUGGGAGGAAUACCAGUGGCGAAGGCGGCCUUCUGGACUGACACUGACACUGAGGUGCGAAAGCGUGGGUAGCAAACAGGAUAAGAUACCCGAGUAGGC